rnacentral:rRNA from 1 species
UUUAUGGAGAGUUUGAUCCUGGCUCAGGAUGAACGCUGGCGGCGUGCCUAAUACAUGCAAGUCGAGCGAACUGACGAGGAGCUUGCUCCUUUGACGUUAGCGGCGGACGGGUGAGUAACACGUGGGUAACCUACCUAUAAGACUGGAAUAACUCCGGGAAACCGGGGCUAAUGCCGGAUAACAUGUUGAACCGCAUGGUUCAACAGUGAAAGACGGUUUUGCUGUCACUUAUAGAUGGACCCGCGCCGUAUUAGCUAGUUGGUAAGGUAACGGCUUACCAAGGCGACGAUACGUAGCCGACCUGAGAGGGUGAUCGGCCACACUGGAACUGAGACACGGUCCAGACUCCUACGGGAGGCAGCAGUAGGGAAUCUUCCGCAAUGGGCGAAAGCCUGACGGAGCAACGCCGCGUGAGUGAUGAAGGUCUUCGGAUCGUAAAGCUCUGUUGUUAGGGAAGAACAUAUGUGUAAGUAACUGUGCACAUCUUGACGGUACCUAACCAGAAAGCCACGGCUAACUACGUGCCAGCAGCCGCGGUAAUACGUAGGUGGCAAGCGUUAUCCGGAAUUAUUGGGCGUAAAGCGCGCGUAGGCGGUUUUUUAAGUCUGAUGUGAAAGCCCACGGCUCAACCGU